CUCUUCUUUUUCUGUUUAUCUAAAUAUGUAUACCGGCUCAUCUAAACAGCAUUAUACAUUUCAGCACAAUCGACCAAUAUAGCUUCACUUCGAAACUUGCAUUACAUGUAUAAUAAUGUUAAAAUAUAAAACGAACUGCAACGUUUUUUCUCGUUGUUAUGAAUUUUGUUAGGUUCCCAAUGGGUCCAUCAACACCAUUCAAUGUGUUUGUAUAUAAGCGUCCGUGUGUGCGUGCGCGGGGGCGUCUCCCCCCAAAAGUUCAUGGCGAUAAGCCAGAAUAAUAAACGUGCCCAUAGAAGUACAGACUCUGCGAAUGAUGCUAUGCAGUAAAUUAGCAUUUUAUGGUAGCAGAUAGUGUUAUUACUCCGACUAUCUGCCUGAGCGUGUAACGUCGGCGGUCUCCUACCUAAAUAUGAAAGCUAAUGAUAGUUGGAGCCCAUAAAGAAUUGUUUAUGAAAAUAGAGAAUUCAAAGAGACACACUUCUUCCGUUUCUCAAUAAUGCGAUGCAACAAUCACUACGAAUAAAAGGCUACAAAUCUAGAUAUUGCACGGCAUAUAAAAUUCUAAUGUAUCAUUGCUAUACUGAUAAUUGUAUAAUAAAUGCCGGGCGACGCUAGCUCGUUGGAGCGUAGAGGAAAGCAUACGUGCGAGUUAGUAUUCUAACUUCAAAAGCAAAGACGGCGGUCAAAUCAGGAGAGUUGCGCGCCCGAGCA